rnacentral:rRNA from 1 species
UGGGGAAUUUUGGACAAUGGGCGAAAGCCUGAUCCAGCCAUGCCGCGUGAGUGAAGAAGGCCUUCGGGUUGUAAAGCUCUUUCAGCCGGAAAGAAAGCGCAUGGGUGAAUAACCUGUGUGGAUGACGGUACCGGAGGAAGAAGCACCGGCUAACUACGUGCCAGCAGCCGCGGUAAUACGUAGGGUGCGAGCGUUAAUCGGAAUUACUGGGCGUAAAGCGUGCGCAGGCGGUUUUGUAAGACGGAUGUGAAAUCCCCGGGCUUAACCUGGGAACUGCAUUUGUGACUGCAAGGCUAGAGUACGGCAGAGGGGGGUAGAAUUCCACGUGUAGCAGUGAAAUGCGUAGAUAUGUGGAGGAAUACCGAUGGCGAAGGCAGCCCCCUGGGUCGAUACUGACGCUCA